UCCUAAACCUUCCAGUAUUUGUUCCCACGUAAAAAUUAGACAGUCAAAGGUGAAGAAACAAGCAUAAGAAGAUGUGUGCAAUAUCCUCCACUGAUGUAAAAAGAAACACUUUGGCAGAGGAUUCAUGGCCUUCUUUGCCAGGCACCAGCUUCAGCUGAGGGCAGGGUCUGGAGAAGGAUGCAUGCCAGAGCAGU